rnacentral:rRNA from 1 species
GACGAACGCUGGCGGCGUGCUUAACACAUGCAAGUCGAACGGUGAAGCCCUUCGUGGUGGCUCAAUGGCGAACGGGUGAGUAACACGUGAGCAACCUUCCCCUGCCUCUGGGACAACCACUGGAAACGGUGGCUAAUACCGGAUACGACCCGCCUCGGCAUCGAGUGUGGGUGGAAAGUUUGUCGGCUGGGGAUGGGCUCGCGGCCUAUCAGCUUGUUGGUGAGGUGAAGGCUCACCAAGGCGACGACGGGUAGCCGGCCUGAGAGGGCGACCGGCCACACUGGGACUGAGACACGGCCCAGACUCCUACGGGAGGCAGCAGUGGGGAAUAUUGCACAAUGGGCGAAAGCCUGAUGCAGCGACGCCGCGUGAGGGAUGACGGCCUUCGGGUUGUAAACCGCUUUCAGCUCCGAAGAAGCGAAAGUGACGGUAGGAGCAGAAGAAGCACCGGCUAACUACGUG